rnacentral:rRNA from 1 species
AUUGAACGCUGGCGGCAUGCCUAAUACAUGCAAGUCGAACGAGAUCUUCGGAUCUAGUGGCGCACGGGUGCGUAACGCGUGGGAAUCUACCCUUGGGUUCGGAAUAACAGUUAGAAAUGACUGCUAAUACCGGAUGAUGACGUAAGUCCAAAGAUUUAUCGCCCAAGGAUGAGCCCGCGUAGGAUUAGCUAGUUGGUGGGGUAAAGGCCUACCAAGGCUACGAUCCUUAGCUGGUCUGAGAGGAUGAUCAGCCACACUGGGACUGAGACACGGCCCAGACUCCUACGGGAGGCAGCAGUAGGGAAUAUUGGACAAUGGGGGAAACCCUGAUCCAGCAAUGCCGCGUGAGCAAUGAAGGCCUUAGGGUUGUAAAGCUCUUUUACCCGGGAUGAUAAUGACAGUACCGGGAGAAUAAGCCCCGGCUAACUCCGUGCCAGCCGCCGCAGUAA